rnacentral:rRNA from 1 species
AUUGAACGCUGGCGGCAUGCCUUACACAUGCAAGUCGAACGGCAGCACGGACUUCGGUCUGGUGGCGAGUGGCGAACGGGUGAGUAAUACAUCGGAACGUGCCUAGUAGUGGGGGAUAACUACUCGAAAGAGUGGCUAAUACCGCAUGAGAUCUACGGAUGAAAGCAGGGGAUCGCAAGACCUUGUGCUACUAGAGCGGCCGAUGGCAGAUUAGGUAGUUGGUGGGGAUAAAAGCUUACCAAGCCAACGAUCUGUAGCUGGUCUGAGAGGACGAUCAGCCACACUGGGACUGAGACACGGCCCAG